GCCUUCAUGUUGCAACGGUAGCACACUCGACGCGUAUUCCAGAGAUCCAGGUUCGAGUCCUGGCGAGGGCA
rnacentral:tRNA from 1 species